ensembl:lncRNA
UGGGGAAGAUGAAAGCACAGGAAAGUCUGUUGUCCAAUUCUGGGCAGACGCCUGGACAUCUCCAAGGACCAGAGUCUAUGGACCUCAGUCUUCAGGGGUUUGUGCAGGGUGGGGUCCACAGAAGUCUCUUCCAGUGGGAGAAGCAGAUCUGAUUGCCUCUCUCAGCCCUGCCUCUCACUAGCUGUUUCCCUGUGUAAGUCACAUGGCAUCUGCAUGGGUGUUUGUGUCAGCAUCAUGCGAGGAUGGCUCCCCUCCCUCUCGGGCUGUGAGCACCGCCCCAAAGCAGGUGGAUGAUGUUCCUAACACAAAGCUGGGGGAGGAAGUGGUUUGAAUCCCACAUCUUGAUUUACUGAGUGGGGUAGUCAGUCUUCGAAGUUUCUUCCUCAGCUCGGGGCCAGCCCAGACCGAAUGUGGUUUCCUCUCGGUGUGUAUGCACGUGUGCAGGCAAGUGUGCGGGCAAGUGUGCGUGUGUCAGAGCGACUCGCCUUUCAUGGACCUGGGGUUCAUGGCCACCUGAGGAGCCCAGGACUCCCUCUCAGACCUGCCCAACAUGCCAAGACGUUUUGGGACCCAGAUAGACACUCAUAGACCUGGGCAAGUACCUGGUUCAUAAAUCUUCGAUGCCUGGCCUUACCUCUAUGUUAGAAUAUGGUAUAAGUUUGGAUUUAGUUUAACACCAAAUCAGCUAGUUAGUUACUCUCUUUAACUCUAUGUCUCUCAGAGAGCACUUUCACUUCCAGACCAUCUACCCCCAGAAAGCUUUGAGAAGCCCCUGAGAGCCACAGCUCCAAAAGGAUUAUUCUUCAGAAGUGGGGAGGCUUGAGAUCUAGCUGUGGUUCUCUCUGCAACCUGCCAUUAACAACCCUCUUGAACUUGCUGGGUCUCAGUUUCCCACUUCUGCUUGGAGAACAGCCGUGCCUACCUCAUCCUACCUCAUGGGUUGGUAUGAGGCUCAAGGGGAUGGAAGGGUUGUGAAAUGCAAUGUCAACCCAUUCCAACUGAUUCUUACAUGAAUAAAUUCCAUGAUGACUUGGGUGCAGAGUCUGUGCAAUUGUCAUAGUAGGCUCUGGGACCCAAAGGUAGCAGGACCUACCCUCUGCCACCAUGAGCUCACAGGCUAUUCUUAUUUCUAGAAGCGGACUUCAAGACUGUGAGCCUUUUGUGCCCACAUGGCAUAGUGUCUGCUUGCCUGUGAAUUUUUGGUAAGGGAGUUCUUAACAUGCUUGUCCCUUUCCCUACCCCACACAAUCGCUCUGCAGGAGAGAAGGAGGGGGCCAGCUAACACCCUCUGUCCAGAUGGCAGUUGGAGUCAAUGAAGCUCAGAGGAGUGAGUGAUUCACCAGGACCGAGUAGCAAGACGGCAGCUGAUGGGAGAUCAGGGCUCCUGCCUGCCCUUUUUAAAAAAUCAUAUCAAGAUUUAAUGUACAUAUACUCUUUUUUUAAAAAAAUACCUAUGUUCCUAACAUGUGGGACAUACAGUAUAAAGAUUUCAUACUGGAUAAAUGAUGCUCAUUAAGCCAAAAGAGAGAAAAAGGAGGACUUUGCCUUGCUUCAGCUACAUUAUUUGAAAUACAAAUAUGCAGAUUUUGUUACUGGGAAAAAUCUGAACUGUUUCUUUAUCAGGAACUUCAACUGAAUCUAGAAUUUUCCACACCUUAAUUAUAAAGAAAGCACAACAAUAACAAAACUCAGAAAAACUGGACUAAAACUUCCUUAGCUCCUGAGACAGGACUGUUUCACAUCGUGUCAAGAGAGACGACGUCCAGCAGGAGAUUGAAUGGCUGUGUCUCACUUUCACAGGUCACCCACUUGCCAAGUUGUGAUACUAUAAAAGAGUGACUGGGAGGUGACCAAACUGUGGAGACUCAGAGGGUGUGUGCAGCAGGAGCGUCAUACAUGCAGAUCGCAGAGCUCAUCGCUUUUCCAGGAAUGAGUUGCAAGGCAGAAAGACCAGGGAUGCUCAGAGCUUGAGUGCCCCGGGCAGUUGCUGUGUCCCUGGCAUGACUGGGCUGCCACUGGAAUCUCAUCACCUGCCAGGACUCAGGAGGAAGUAGGGAGGACAUCUUGGGUGGGAUGGCAGGGGCAGCGGGGCCUUCCAAGCCUCUGUGGACAAAGCCUGGAGGGGCCAGCACUAGGGAGGACCUCUGUGUGGUCUUAGGCCUGUGCAAGGCCCUGCCCUUGCAUAGGAAGAGAUGAUCCUCAUUCCUGGCUUUCUCCAAAGACUGUCUCCUUGAGUUCUUCCACAGCGGUCAUCAACUGGAGACCUGGGGGCCUUGUGUGGGCUGCAGACAGGUUUUAUUUGAUUGAAUUGUUUUCAAUAACUGCAAUAGCAGUCAGCAUUGAAACACUGAUUUCAAAUCAAAACUCUGGGCCUUUUCUGAGAACGUGGGCCAUCUGGCCACCCAGGAGCCCAGCCCUGUGUGGCCACUAUUGCUGGGCCCAGUUGAGUCCCUGCUGCCCUUUAGCACAUGUCCCUGGGUUCCCACCCAGCCAGCCUCCCUCAUUUUCAUCACCUGCCUGGCAUGGGUCCUGGGACCCAUCCCCAAGUCUGUAUUUUAUUGAUGGUGAAGCCGGAGACCUGCCUUAAAAGAUGUAGAAACAGAAACUCUGAGAGUCCUCCCCAUCCCAGCCCUUUUGAGCAGCUUCAGGUUUCUGUGGGCCAGAGACAGCUGGGCCAACAGAAGAGGAGGUGAUGGUGGCCCUCACUCCACCUCCACCGUGGAUGUGCCCCCUCCCCACCCCCAACAACCAUUGCAUUUUCCAGAUUAAAGAUUCCAGGCAGGCUGGGACUUAUUUCCCACUCAGUGUCUGGGACGUAUUCUCCUUCAAGUCAUUACAGGUUCGAGAUCUCCAGCAACCCCGGGUCUUGAAGGCGGGGCUGUCUUUUCUGACAGCCCCGGGGUGCUCAGACACCAAGCUUCCUCUGUUCCCUUUCCAUUCGCCCCGCUCUAGCCUUUGGUCUGGGUGCAGCCUGUCAGCAUUAAGUAAGCACUUCUUGUGGUUCGCUUAUAACAAUUCUUCAGAUCUUGGGAGCCGGGCUGUGGGGCUCUGCAUAUGUAUAGAUCUCAUUUUCACACAACAGGCUGCUUAGCAUAUGGGGACCCAGACCAGCCUCCAACAUUUAGCUCUGAGUUAAGACGUGGGAAACUAGGUGGCUUUUAACCAGCCCAUAUUGCUGCCAGUGCUCAACCUUAGGGAAUUUUCACAGGGAAAAGGAAAAAAAAAAAAAGACACAAAAAACCAACAACAACAACACACACCACACACACAUAUAAAAUCAACAAAACCACAGUUUUCCUUGCUCCCCCAAACCAGAUGGCAGAUGGUAUGGAACCAAUAAAACACAGAUUCAAGCGUUUGUUUAUUUAAGUUUGAAAGUAAUAUGGCUUUGUGGUCCCUUGCAAGGAAACACCAACCUUCCAACCAAAGAAAUGACGGAUUACAGUCCAACCUCAGGGUGGCAGUUGGAGGAGAGAUUUCUGGGGAGGCAAUGGAAGGAGGGGCCAGGGACAACUCAUGGCAGGACCCCAAGCCUCAUGGCCCAUUUGCCUUGUUGGGUGAAGGUCUAGGAAGUCUUCCUGAACCCCGAGAUGCUUGGUUUUUCUGGUUGGUCUUUGGUUGAGAUUCAGUCCAAAAGGCAGCUAGCCAUAUGAGGAAUGUUUCUGCGUCAUUUCUGAAACAGCUGUGGGAGAUGUCAUUCUGGGCCACCAAUGCAAAAGUCCAUGAGAAAAAGGCCCGAGUUCUUCAGUGAAGGCUCUCAUUCUUGAUGCUUUGGGUUUGUUAUAUCAGUGGAGGGGAGCUUUGUGAGGCAAUGUGGUUCCCCUUUCACUUUGGCUUCCAAGAGACCCAGAGCUCAAUUACAUGCUCAGUUGAAAUAACCGCAUUCAUUAUUAGAAAUAACAUCUACAUUCAUUGAAGAUACUUUUGGUUAUGAGUGGCAGAAAUCCAACCUCAACUACUUUAAAUAAAAAGAUAAUUUAUCAGGUCAAGUAAGUUGAGAUGACUUCAGAGAGGGCUGGAUUCAGGAGCUGGAUUCAAAGAUCCCUUUCAGAUAGGCUUCUUCCACAAGGCAGCCCCAAACUAUCCCAAACUUAUAUUCUAUGAGCUUAGCAACCCCAGAAGAAAGAGAAUCUUUCCCACCACCUCUGGCAGCAAAGUCCUAUUGGAGAUUCUGAUUGGUCCUGCUUGGUGUGUAUGCCCAUUUUUGAACCAUUUACAGUGGCCAGAGGCUUGAGGUACUCUGAUUGGUCAAAUCUGGACCAAAUGACACUCCCAUAGGUGGGAAAAGGAGCCCCACCCUAAGGAGAUGUGGGGAACAGCUAUGCAAGCAGAUGUC